GGCUGGUUAGCUCAAUUGGUGAGAGCACGGUACUUAUAAGGCCAAGGUCAUGGGUUCAAUACCCGUAUUGGCCA